UUAAACUCUACUAUUAAGGG
rnacentral:tRNA from 2 species